rnacentral:rRNA from 1 species
UUAAGCGACUAAGCGUACACGGUGGAUGCCCUGGCAGUCAGAGGCGAUGAAGGGCGUGCUAAUCUGCGAUAAGCGCCGGUAAGGUGAUAUGAACCGUUAUAACCGGCGAUACCCGAAUGGGGAAACCCAGUGUGAUUCGUCACACUAUCAUUAACUGAAUCCAUAGGUUAAUGAGGCGAACCGGGGGAACUGAAACAUCUAAGUACCCCGAGGAAAAGAAAUCAACCGAGAUUCCCCCAGUAGCGGCGAGCGAACGGGGAGGAGCCCAGAGCCUGAAUCAGCAUGUGUGUUAGUGGAAGCGUCUGGAAAGGCGCGCGAUACAGGGUGACAGCCCCGUACACAAAAGCGCAUGUGCUGUGAGCUCGAUGAGUAGGGCGGGACACGUGGUAUCCUGUCUGAAUAUGGGGGGACCAUCCUCCAAGGCUAAAUACUCCUGACUGACCGAUAGUGAACCAGUACCGUGAGGGAAAGGCGAAAAGAACCCCGGCGAGGGGAGUGAAAAAGAACCUGAAACCGUGUACGUACAAGCAGUGGGAGCACAGGUUUACCUGUGUGACUGCGUACCUUUUGUAUAAUGGGUCAGCGACUUAUAUUCUGUAGCAAGGUUAACCGAAUAGGGGAGCCGGAGGGAAACCGAGUCUUAACCGGGCGUUAAGUUGCAGGGUAUAGACCCGAAACCCGGUGAUCUAGCCAUGGGCAGGUUGAAGGUUGGGUAACACUAACUGGAGGACCGAACCGACUAAUGUUGAAAAAUUAGCGGAUGACCUGUGGCUGGGGGUGAAAGGCCAAUCAAACCGGGAGAUAGCUGGUUCUCCCCGAAAGCUAUUUAGGUAGCGCCUCGUGAAUUCAUCUCCGGGGGUAGAGCACUGUUUCGGCUAGGGGGCCAUCCCGGCUUACCAACCCGAUGCAAACUGCGAAUACCGGAGAAUGUUAUCACGGGAGACACACGGCGGGUGCUAACGUCCGUCGUGAAGAGGGAAACAACCCAGACCGCCAGCUAAGGUCCCAAAGUCAUGGUUAAGUGGGAAACGAUGUGGGAAGGCCCAGACAGCCAGGAUGUUGGCUUAGAAGCAGCCAUCAUUUAAAGAAAGCGUAAUAGCUCACUGGUCGAGUCGGCCUGCGCGGAAGAUGUAACGGGGCUAAACCAUGCACCGAAGCUGCGGCAGCGACGCUUAUGCGUUGUUGGGUAGGGGAGCGUUCUGUAAGCCUGUGAAGGUGUGUCGUGAGGCAUGCUGGAGGUAUCAGAAGUGCGAAUGCUGACAUAAGUAACGAUAAAGCGGGUGAAAAGCCCGCUCGCCGGAAGACCAAGGGUUCCUGUCCAACGUUAAUCGGGGCAGGGUGAGUCGACCCCUAAGGCGAGGCCGAAAGGCGUAGUCGAUGGGAAACGGGUUAAUAUUCCCGUACUUGGUGUUACUGCGAAGGGGGGACGGAGAAGGCUAUGUUGGCCGGGCGACGGUUGUCCCGGUUUAAGCGUGUAGGUGUGUGUUCCAGGUAAAUCCGGUUCACUUUAACACUGAGGCGUGACGACGAGGCACUACGGUGCUGAAGCAACAAAUGCCCUGCUUCCAGGAAAAGCCUCUAAGCAUCAGGUAACAUCAAAUCGUACCCCAAACCGACACAGGUGGUCAGGUAGAGAAUACCAAGGCGCUUGAGAGAACUCGGGUGAAGGAACUAGGCAAAAUGGUGCCGUAACUUCGGGAGAAGGCACGCUGACACGUAGGUGAAGUGAUUUACUCAUGGAGCUGAAGUCAGUCGAAGAUACCAGCUGGCUGCAACUGUUUAUUAAAAACACAGCACUGUGCAAACACGAAAGUGGACGUAUACGGUGUGACGCCUGCCCGGUGCCGGAAGGUUAAUUGAUGGGGUCAGCGCAAGCGAAGCUCCUGAUCGAAGCCCCGGUAAACGGCGGCCGUAACUAUAACGGUCCUAAGGUAGCGAAAUUCCUUGUCGGGUAAGUUCCGACCUGCACGAAUGGCGUAAUGAUGGCCAGGCUGUCUCCACCCGAGACUCAGUGAAAUUGAACUCGCUGUGAAGAUGCAGUGUACCCGCGGCAAGACGGAAAGACCCCGUGAACCUUUACUAUAGCUUGACACUGAACAUUGAGCCUUGAUGUGUAGGAUAGGUGGGAGGCUUUGAAGCGUGGACGCCAGUCUGCGUGGAGCCGACCUUGAAAUACCACCCUUUAAUGUUUGAUGUUCUAACGUGGACCCGUUACCCGGGUUGCGGACAGUGUCUGGUGGGUAGUUUGACUGGGGCGGUCUCCUCCUAAAGAGUAACGGAGGAGCACGAAGGUUGGCUAAUCCUGGUCGGACAUCAGGAGGUUAGUGCAAUGGCAUAAGCCAGCUUGACUGCGAGCGUGACGGCGCGAGCAGGUGCGAAAGCAGGUCAUAGUGAUCCGGUGGUUCUGAAUGGAAGGGCCAUCGCUCAACGGAUAAAAGGUACUCCGGGGAUAACAGGCUGAUACCGCCCAAGAGUUCAUAUCGACGGCGGUGUUUGGCACCUCGAUGUCGGCUCAUCACAUCCUGGGGCUGAAGUAGGUCCCAAGGGUAUGGCUGUUCGCCAUUUAAAGUGGUACGCGAGCUGGGUUUAGAACGUCGUGAGACAGUUCGGUCCCUAUCUGCCGUGGGCGCUGGAGAACUGAGGGGGGCUGCUCCUAGUACGAGAGGACCGGAGUGGACGCAUCACUGGUGUUCGGGUUGUCAUGCCAAUGGCACUGCCCGGUAGCUAAAUGCGGAAGAGAUAAGUGCUGAAAGCAUCUAAGCACGAAACUUGCCCCGAGAUGAGUUCUCCCUGAGACUUAGAGUCUCCUGAAGGAACGUUGAAGACGACGACGUUGAUAGGCCGGGUGUGUAAGCGCAGCGAUGCGUUGAGCUAACCGGUACUAAUGAACCGUGAGGCUUAACCUU